GACGAACGCUGGCGGCGUGCUUAACACAUGCAAGUCGAACGGUAAGGCCCUUCGGGGUACACGAGUGGCGAACGGGUGAGUAACACGUGGGUGAUCUGCCCUGCACUUCGGGAUAAGCCUGGGAAACUGGGUCUAAUACCGGAUAGGACCACUGCCUGCAUGGGUGGUGGUGGAAAGCUUUUGCGGUGUGGGAUGGGCCCGCGGGCUAUCAGCUUGUUGGUGGGGUGAUGGCCUACCAAGGCGACGACGGGUAGCCGGCCUGAGAGGGUGACCGGCCACACUGGGACUGAGAUACGGCCCAGACGCCUACGGGAGGCAGCAGUGGGGAAUAUUGCACAAUGGGCGCAAGCCUGAUGCAGCGACGCCGCGUGAGGGAUGACGGCCUUCGGGUUGUAAACCUCUUUCAGCACCGACGAAGCGCAAGUGACGGUAGGUGCAGAAGAAGGACCGGCCAACUACGUGCCAGCAGCCGCCGCGGUAA
rnacentral:rRNA from 1 species